GUAUACAUAAACUGAAGCUAUUUCAAAGCAUUCGCAACAAAUUCACACUAAAGUUCGAUACAUACCAGUAUUUUCGAGCAGCAGCACCAAAAUGUCUUGGAAACCCCAAGCGAAGCCCGUGACCAGCAAGGGCGACAGGCCAGUCACCAAGGUCAACAAGGAGAACAAGACUGCGGCUAAGCAACAUCCUGUGACACGUACCCCAACAUCCCGACCCAAUACACAUGAUCGGAUUUGGAAGAUCAUGAAAAUGUAAACAUGAUGAAGCCAUUCGACCGCUUGGUUGGUAUAUCUACCAAUCAACAAGAUCGGAUUUUGAAAACCAUGACCAUCUAACCAUGGUAACUAUAAUUCGACCUCUUAAUUGGUAUAUGUACCAAUCCACAUCAAAGGUCAAGAUUUCCAACGCGUUCGAGAUGUAUUUCCGAUCUAAGAACACGUUAUUCUCUCUGCAGAUUUGAUGGUGAUGGGACAGCCCACCCCAAUGUUUGAUUUUUUUUCUACAUAUAUGUUCGGAAAUGAUUUAAAAUAAAAAUAAUCUUUUGGUCGCGCUGGGCGCUGAAUAAAGCGAAAAAGUCCCAACACAGAAAAACUCUUAUAAUU